UACCAGCACCCCGAGUGGUCGGGACGUUUAUUGGGCCUAAAGCAUCCGUAGCCGGUUCUACAAGUCUUCCGUUAAAUCCACCUGCUUAACAGAUGGGCUGCGGAAGAUACUAUAGAGCUAGGAGGCGGGAGAGGCAAGCGGUACUCGAUGGGUAGGGGUAAAAUCCGUUGAUCCAUUGAAGACCACCAGUGGCGAAGGCGGCUUUCCAGAACGCGCUCCGGACGGUGAGGGAUGAAAGCUGGGGGAGCAAACCGG
rnacentral:rRNA from 1 species